rnacentral:rRNA from 1 species
GACGAACGCUGGCGGCGUGCCUAAUACAUGCAAGUCGAACGCUGAAGCUUGGUGCUUGCACCGAGCGGAUGAGUUGCGAACGGGUGAGUAACGCGUAGGUAACCUGCCUGGUAGCGGGGGAUAACUAUUGGAAACGAUAGCUAAUACCGCAUAAGAGUAGAUGUUGCAUGACAUUUGCUUAAAAGGUGCAAUUGCAUCACUACCAGAUGGACCUGCGUUGUAUUAGCUAGUUGGUGAGGUAACGGCUCACCAAGGCAACGAUACAUAGCCGACCUGAGAGGGUGAUCGGCCACACUGGGACUGAGACACGGCCCAGACUCCUACGGGAGGCAGCAGUAGGGAAUCUUCGGCAAUGGACGGAAGUCUGACCGAGCAACGCCGCGUGAGUGAAGAAGGUUGUCGGAUCGUAAAGCUCGGUUGUAAGAGAAGAACGAGUGUGAGAGUGGAAAGUUCACACUGUGACGGUAGCUUACCAGAAAGGGACGGCUAACUACGUG